rnacentral:rRNA from 1 species
AUUGAACGCUGGCGGCAGGCUUAACACAUGCAAGUCGAGCGGGGUGAUGGUGCUUGCACUAUCACUUAGCGGCGGACGGGUGAGUAAUGCUUAGGAAUCUGCCUAUUAGUGGGGGACAACAUCUCGAAAGGGAUGCUAAUACCGCAUACGUCCUACGAGAGAAAGCAGGGGAUCACUUGUGACCUUGCGCUAAUAGAUGAGCCUAAGUCGGAUUAGCUAGUUGGUGGGGUAAAGGCCUACCAAGGCGACGAUCUGUAGCGGGUCUGAGAGGAUGAUCCGCCACACUGGGACUGAGACACGGCCCAGACUCCUACGGGAGGCAGCAGUGGGGAAUAUUGGACAAUGGGGGGAACCCUGAUCCAGCCAUGCCGCGUGUGUGAAGAAGGCCUUAUGGCUGUAAAGCACUUUAAGCGAGGAGGAGGCUCUUUUGGUUAAUACCCAAGAUGAGUGGACGUUACUCGCAGAAUAAGCACCGGCUAACUCUGUGCCAGCAGCCGCAGUAA